rnacentral:misc_RNA from 1 species
AAGUCGUAACAAGGUUUCCGUAGGUGAACCUGCGGAAGGAUCAUUACAAAUAAAGCUGGGCAGUAAGGGUGGGAAUGUCUUGGGGGGUCAUUUGCAUUGCUUGAAUAAGGUUGGGGUUAAGGAAGGCCGAACAGUCCCGGGCUGCCCUCCCCGAAAAUGUCUUACAUGUCCCCCACAGCCUGAAGGCCGAAUUACAACCCUUGAUUAUCUACACUUGUUGCUUUGGGGUGCUCAAGUGCCCCAGAGGACCCAACUCUCUUGCAUUUAGUGACGUCUGAGUACUAUAUAAUAUUUAAAA